UAAUGUCUAGGUAGAAGUAGCUAUAGGUCACGGGAGAAAAUAAUGUGGGGAUGUAACCGAAGACGAGAAAAUAACCUUCGAACGCGUUUUCGGUCAAGAAAACGUGUGCUAUAGGUCACGGGAGUCCGAAAAUAACGACACCAUCCACCGGGGUCGAAAACGUGGAGGAUGGACUGAAAAUAUGAAAAUGGCCUCCAGACGCGUUUUCGGCUAUGAAAACGUGUGCCAUAGGUCACG
rnacentral:lncRNA from 1 species